rnacentral:rRNA from 1 species
GACGAACGCUGGCGGCGUGCUUAACACAUGCAAGUCGAACGGAAAGGCCCUGCUUUUGUGGGGUGCUCGAGUGGCGAACGGGUGAGUAACACGUGAGUAACCUGCCCUUGACUUAGGGAUAACUUCAGGAAACUGGGGCUAAUACCGGAUAGGAGCUACUGCGGCAUGGGGGUGGUUGGAAAGUUUCGGCGGUUGGGGAUGGACUCGCGGGUUAUCAGCUUGUUGGUGGGGUAGUGGCUUACCAAGGCUUUGACGGGUAGCCGGCCUGAGAGGGUGACCGGCCACAUUGGGACUGCGAUACGGCCCAGACUCCUACGGGCGGCAGCAGUGGGGAAUAUUGCACAAUGGGCGGAAGCCUGAUGCAGCAACGCCGCGUGCGGGAUGACGGCCUUCGGGUUGUAAACCGCUUUCGCCUGUAACGAAGCGUGAUUGACGGUAAUGGGUAAAGAAGCACCGGCUAACUACGUG